rnacentral:rRNA from 1 species
GGGCCCGCACAAGCGGAGGAACAUGUGGUUUAAUUCGAUGAUACGCGAGGAACCUUACCCGGGCUUAAAUUGCAACAGAAUAUAUUGGAAACAGUAUAGCCGUAAGGCUGUUGUGAAGGUGCUGCAUGGUUGUCGUCAGCUCGUGCCGUGAGGUGUCGGCUUAAGUGCCAUAACGAGCGCAACCCUUAUCUUUAGUUACUAACAGGUCAUGCUGAGGACUCUAGAGAGACUGCCGUCGUAAGAUGUGAGGAAGGUGGGGAUGACGUCAAAUCAGCACGGCCCUUACGUCCGGGGCUACACACGUGUUACAAUGGGGGGUACAGAAGGCGGCUACCUGGUGACAGGAUGCUAAUCCCAAAAACCUCUCUCAGUUCGGAUCGAAGUCUGCAACCCGACUUCGUGAAGCUGGAUUCGCUAGUAAUCGCGCAUCAGCCAUGGCGCGGUGAAUACGUUCCCGGGCCUU